GGAACUUUCAAGUUUUGUUUUAUAUUUUUGUAAACCGCUUCGGGCUGCUCCUUCAAUCAAGCAGGCUAUUGAUUUGGCUAAAUGAACAAGCAAAACCUCCAUAAAAUGUAAAAGCUAAAAUUCAAAUCGCAAUAAGCAGCAUUGUCGAAAGAUCCACUGAUAGUUCAGUCACUGAUAUCCUCAUCUGGAAGACUGCUGGAAGAGGAAGGUCUUCGCUUGCUUCCUGAAAGAAAACAAUGCUUGCGGGAAGACACCUCUUGUUCUGCAGAUGUGGGGCCACCACUGAAAAGGCCCAUCCACAGCCCCCCAGUGCUGCUCACUUCAUCCUAUGCAUGGACCACCACCAGCCCCCUCCCCAAAGGCAGAAGGGCACCAGGUUAGAGACCCCUGCGUAAGACCAGGACCGGAUUUGCUGUGUGGGAGCGAUGGAUGGAUGAUUAUAGGAGAUAGGUUGCAGAGAGGUGUUGAGCUAAGACAGUGAUGGCCAAACUUGGCCCUCCAGCUGUUUUGGGACUACAACUCCCACCAUCCCUAACUAACAGGACCAGUGGUCAGGGAUGCUGGGAAUUGUAGUCCCAAAACAGCUGGAGGGCCAAGUUUGGUAGUCACUGAGCUAAGAGCAGCAAGUUGCUUCGCAGAUGAACAAGAUGACUGCAGCUUUGCUGAUGGUGUGCUGCGUUCCCUGUAAAUAAGACAGGCUUCUGAAAAACAGCCUUGUUUAUUCAGCAGUAAAUAUAACGUUUGCAGCACUGCAGGGGGGCUCUCUGUGGAGCAGGCUCCUGGCUCCUUGGCCAGCUAAUUGACUAACCUCACCAGUUAGUCACCAACUUAAGAUCAACAACAAUCUGCUAGUCAUACAUCCUCCUUCUCCUUCCACCGACAGUAUUAUAGUAUCAUUGAUCACACAUGUCAACAUUACUCAGAAAGUGUUCCUGGCGCUAUUCUGUCUGAUCUGCACCCAUGGACCCGCUUCAAGUUCCUCUGUAACCACAGUAAGGUUAUGUUCUUUUUAAUGCCACCAGCCUGCCCCCAAACCACAGGAGUGACUCUGACUUGAAAGUUAGGAGGAGAUUGUCAGGAGUUCAGCCUACACUCGAGUAGGACCCUGGCAGAGACACAUGCCAGACUGGCAUGUUCUCUUCCUCCUGGUUGAUCAUUCGGGAGCUUCAAAAGCUUUCUUCAGCCGGAACAUUACAGCGACUAAUGCCAACAGACAUCGGCACACUUAGGGAUCCACAGCGUCUUCGCAGCUUUUCAUGACAGACCUCAGCAACUCAGCAUUUUGGCUAAUCUACUUUAUUUACAUAUAAACACAGACGGAGCACUGCAACAUGGCUCCCUCUCUCUCUAGCAUCAGACAGCAAAAAGAAAAAGGACAAAGGACAUUAGUCCCACUUCACGGAACACAGUAACACAAACAUCCUGUCUCCGUCACUUCCCACUCUGUGGGGUCAAAACAUAUACCGUCAUGCGAUAGAUAACAAUCCCAUGACUGCAAUCACGGAGCAGGAAUUCUAACAGAGAUCUCUGUUUGGGCUUAAUAUCAGUACAGGCUCAGCAGCAAGGUCUAGAAGUCGAGGGACACGAGAAAGGGAUAGUCGUUUCGUAAAGAUGCGCAUGUCCGCAGAAAUUUGCACGGAAACGCUGGGCAGUUUCCACAGGGGCUUUAGAAAGAAUUAUCAAGCUGGUGGAGAAUUGUGGCGAAUUGAAUUUAAAGCUGGAAAAAUUAGAAGCAGAGAGAAGCCCAGAUUCACCCAUCCCUAGACAGUGGCAGUUUGUAAGACUGUAGCGCGAGGUUGACUAACCUUUUUUUUUUUUUGUCCUGAAGGUCAGAAUCACCCUUGGCUAACCCUCUAGAGCAGGGGCCAGCAAACUUUUUCAGCAGGGGGCCGGUCCACUGUCCCUCAGACCUUGUGGGGGGCCAGACUAUUUGGAGGGGGAGGGGAGAUGCAAGAGCACCACGAGCCCCGGUCGCUGCUUAUCUGUGUCUUGUGAGCGGCAGGGACUGGCGGCGGCGGAGGGACGAUGAGCAACAUGCAAAAGGGCUCCAGAGAGGGGCUGCUUAAAAUGGCGGCCGCUCAAGUGCUGCUGCUGCUGACACCAACAAAGCCCAGCCCCCUUCCUCCUCUAGGCAGGGCGGGGAGAAACCAGGAGGAGGGAGGGAGGAGGCGCUGCCACCGCCACCAAGGGAGGGAGAGGGAAAGAACUGUUGACAUGCAGAGGGCUGGGAGGCCAGCUGGCAAGCCCCAGCUUGGCUGACUCCUUCCAUCGACCUCUGCUCCGACAUAAAUCAGUGACCCGGGCUUCAGAGCCAGGGCACACUAUCAACAGCACAAACUGUGCACACAGAAUAGGCAUGAGGCUUCUGGAAGCAUACUACAACUACAGAUUUAUUAAUCAUAAAUCAGGACAAAGAAACAUAGCGUCUCUCUCUCUCUCUCUCUCUCUCUCUCUCUCGUUUUCUCAGAGAGAACAGGAAAAGGAAAAGCUAUACACAACGGAAGUUCCCAGCAAGCUGUGCUGGAAUGUAAACAGACAUGCGGCACGCAACAGUUCCACACAUCUGCUCCUUGAGGUGGAAUGGAAAUCUCAACAAGAACCGCGCACACUGGCGAUCCACGUGGAGAUUCCCAGACCGUCCGCAGGCUGCAUCCAGAAGGCAGUUGGGCCUGAUCUGAUCCACGGACCUUAGUUUGCCGACCCAUGCUCUAGGGGCCACGUGGCAAAAGUGGGUGUCACUACCCACCCCAUACACCAUGGCACACGCACAGAUCUCUCUGCCCACCUCAAUGCUGAGUCUACUUUGACUUCCCUCCUUUUUGUCAUCACCACCAACAUCUGAGCCAGUUUUUAGAUUAAUGUGGCCCAUUAUCAGACACCAAUAUCUGAAGUAGCCCAUGUCCAGGGCCGAAAAAUGAUGGCGCUUUUCCCUCUCCAGUUUUAAUAUGUUCUUAUAUCAUAACUUUUUCAAAAAAUCCGAUGUGCAUUAUUAAGUGAAUGUUUUGAGAUGGUAAAAAGUGUUCAAAAGCCAUUCAUCUGACUGAUUAGUCUGGGUUAGCGACCUGGUGCCCUCCAGUCAAUAUUGGACUCCCAAUCCUAUCAGUCCCAGUUGCCAUAGUUAGUAGUCAGGUUGUGAGUUGUAUCCAACCAUGUCUGGAGGGC